GAUGAAGAACGCAGCGAAAUGCGAAAAGUAGUGUGAAUUGCAGAAUUCAGUGAAUCAUCGAGUCUUUGAACGCACAUUGCGCCCCCUGGCAUUCCGGGGGGCAUGCCUGUCCGAGCGUCAUUGCUGCCCUUCAAGCCCGGCUUGUGUGUUGGGUCGUCGUCCCCCCCGGGGGACGGGCCCGAAAGGCAGCGGCGGCACCGCGUCCGGUCCUCGAGCGUAUGGGGCUUUGUCACCCGCUCGAUUAGGGCCGGCCGGGCGCCAGCCGGCGUCUCCAACCUUCUAUUUUACCAGGUUGACCUCGGAUCAGGUAGGGAUACCCGCUGAACUUAAGCAUAUCAAUAAGCGGAGGA
rnacentral:misc_RNA from 1 species